UUCGCAAUGCCCGAAAGGGUGACGAAGCGACGCCGCGUGGGUGAGGAAGGCCUUCGGGUUGUAAAGCCCUGUCAGGAGUUAAGAAAUGUAAGUGUGCUAAUAUCGCAUUUACUUGACGAAAGCUCCAAAGGAAGUCACGGCUAACUCUGUGCCAGCAGCCGCGGUAAUACAGAGGUGGCAAGCGUUGUUCGGAAUUAUUGGGCGUAAAGAGCACGUAGGUGGGUUUGUAAGUCAGAUGUGAAAGCCUCCUGUUCAACGGGAGAAUUGCAUCUGAAACUACUGAUCUUGAGUAUAGGAGGGGAGAAUGGAACUUCUGGUGGAGCGGUGAGAUGCGUAGAUAUCAGAAGGAACGCCGGCGGCGAAAGCGAUUCUCUGGCCUAUUACUGACACUCAGUGUGCGAAAGCUAGGGGAGCAAACGGGAUUAGAUACCCCGGUAGUCCUAGCCGUAAACGAUGGGCACUAAGUAGAGGGGUUUU
rnacentral:rRNA from 1 species